UGGGAGACAGAGCACCGGGUGCUAACGUCCGGACUCAAGAGGGAAACAACCCAGACCGCCAGCUAAGGUCCCUAAUAUUGGCUAAGUGGGAAACGAAGUGGGAAGGCUAAAACAGUCAGGAUGUUGGCUUAGAAGCAGCCAUCAUUUAAAGAAAGCGUAAUAGCUCACUGAUCGAGUCGUCCUGCGCGGAAGAUGUAACGGGGCUAAGCCAGUAACCGAAGCUGCGGAUCGUGGCAACACGAUGGUAGGAGAGCGUUCCGUACGCCUGUGAAGGUGGGUCGUGAGGCCUGCUGGAGGUAUCGGAAGUGCGAAUGCUGACAUGAGUAGCGUUAAAGGGGGUGAAAAGCCCCCUCGCCGAAAGCGCAAGGUUUUCUACGCAACGUUCAUCGGCGUAGAGUGAGUCGGCCCCUAAGGCGAGGCAGAGAUGCGUAGCUGAUGGGAAGCAGGUCAAUAUUCCUGCACCGACGUGCAGUGCGAUGUGGGGACGGAUCUUUGCAGGUGAUCCGGGUGUUGGAUGUCCCGGUUUAGGCGAUGUAGGCGAUGGGUAGGCAAGUCCGCCCGUCACAUACCGAGGUCGUCGACCCAGCGAGCUUGCUCGUGAAGUCACUCAAUGAGGUUCCAAGAAAAGCCACUAAGCUCUAGCUGCACGCGACCGUACCGCAAACCGACACUGGUGCGCGUGAUGAGUAUUCUCAGGCGCUUGAGAGAACUCUGGAGAAGGAACUCGGCAAAUUGACACCGUAACUUCGGAAGAAGGUGUGCCUUAGUAGUGUGAAGUGAACAACGGAGCAUGAACGGGUCGCAGAGAAUCGGUGGCUGCGACUGUUUAUUAAAAACACAGCACUCUGCAAAGACGAAAGUCGACGUAUAGGGUGUGACGCCUGCCCGGUGCUGGAAGAUUAAAUGAUGGGGUGCAAGCUCUUGAUUGAAGUCCCAGUAAACGGCGGCCGUAACUAUAACGGUCCUAAGGUAGCGAAAUUCCUUGUCGGGUAAGUUCCGACCUGCACGAAUGGCGUAACGAUGGCCACACUGUCUCCUCCAGAGACUCAGCGAAGUUGAAAUGUUUGUGAUGAUGCAAUCUCCCGCGGAAAGACGGAAAGACCCCAUGAACCUUUACUGUAGCUUUACAUUGGAUUUUGAAUAGACCUGUGUAGGAUAGGUGGGAGGCUUUGAAGUCCGGUCGCUAGAUCGGAUGGAGCCAACGUUGAAAUACCACCCUGGUGUGUUUGAGGUUCUAACCUAGGCCCGUGAUCCGGGUCGGGGACCGUGUAUGGUAGGCAGUUUGACUGGGGCGGUCUCCUCCUAAAGCGUAACGGAGGAGUUCGAAGGUACGCUAGGCACGGUCGGAAAUCGUGCUGAUAGUGCAUUGGCAUAAGCGUGCUUGACUGCGAGACUGACAAGUCGAGCAGGUACGAAAGUAGGACAAAGUGAUCCGGUGGUUCUGUAUGGAAGGGCCAUCGCUCAACGGAUAAAAGGUACUCUGGGGAUAACAGGCUGAUACCGCCCAAGAGUUCAUAUCGACGGCGGUGUUUGGCACCUCGAUGUCGGCUCAUCUCAUCCUGGGGCUGUAGCCGGUCCCAAGGGUAUGGCUGUUCGCCAUUUAAAGAGGUACGUGAGCUGGGUUUAAAACGUCGUGAGACAGUUUGGUCCCUAUCUUCCGUGGGCGCUGCAAGAUUGAGAGAGCCUGCUCCUAGUACGAGAGGACCGGAGUGGACGCACCUCUGGUGUAUCGGUUGUCACGCCAGUGGCAUUGCCGAGUAGCUAAGUGCGGAAGAGAUAACCGCUGAAAGCAUCUAAGCGGGAAACUCGUCUCAAGAUGAGUCUUGCCGGGGCCUUGAGCCCCCUGAAGAGUCGUUCGAGACCAGGACGUUGAUAGGCCGGGUGUGGAAGCGCAGUAAUGCGUUAAGCUUACCGGUACUAAUUGCUCGUGCGGCUUGACCCUAUAACUUUG
rnacentral:rRNA from 1 species